rnacentral:pre_miRNA from 15 species
GCACACAUACGUACAUACAAACUUGUGUGUAUGCAUACAUACAAGUUUGUAUGUAUGUAUAUAUAAG